GACGAACGCUGGCGGCGUGCCUAAUACAUGCACGUCGAACGCAGUGGGGACGGGUGAGUAACACGUGGGUAACCUCCCAUCAGAGGGGAUAACACUUGGAAACAGGUGCUAAACCGACACUGACGGAUGGACCCGCGGUGCAUUAGCUAGUUGGGGAGGUAACGGCUCACCAAGGCCACGAAGCAUAGCGGGCCUGGUGGGGUGAUAGGCGAGACGGGGACAGAGACACGUCCCGGACUCCUACGGGCGGCAGCAGUGGGGUAUCUGGGGCAAUGGACGCAAGUGUGACCGAGCACAGCCGCGUGAGUGAAGAGGGUUUCCGGUUCUUAAGGCUCUGAUGUAAGAGAGGCGGUAUCUGACCAGAAAGCCACGGCUAACUACGUGCCAGCAGCCGCGGUAAUAC
rnacentral:rRNA from 1 species